GGGCUGGCUAUAGCUCAGCGGUUCCUUCGACGCAGAAGCUACUUGAAGCUAAGUCAGCAUGCAAGUGCUGGUUCGAGUCCCGCGGGCGCUCCCCAGCCUUUUU
rnacentral:vault_RNA from 14 species